rnacentral:rRNA from 1 species
AGUCGAGCGGACAGAAGGGAGCUUGCUCCCGGAUGUUAGCGGCGGACGGGUGAGUAACACGUGGGUAACCUGCCUGUAAGACUGGGAUAACUCCGGGAAACCGGAGCUAAUACCGGAUAGUUCCUUGAACCGCAUGGUUCAAGGAUGAAAGACGGUUUCGGCUGUCACUUACAGAUGGACCCGCGGCGCAUUAGCUAGUUGGUGGGGUAAUGGCUCACCAAGGCGACGAUGCGUAGCCGACCUGAGAGGGUGAUCGGCCACACUGGGACUGAAACACGGCCCAGACUCCUACGGGAGGCAGCAGUAGGGAAUCUUCCGCAAUGGACGAAAGUCUGACGGAGCAACGCCGCGUGAGUGAUGAAGGUUUUCGGAUCGUAAAGCUCUGUUGUUAGGGAAGAACAAGUGCGAGAGUAACUGCUCGCACCUUGACGGUACCUAACCAGAAAGCCACGGCUAACUACGUGCCAGCAGCCGCGGUAAUACGUAGGUGGCAAGCGUUGUCCGGAAUUAUUGGGCGUAAAGGGCUCGCAGGCGGUUUCUUAAGUCUGAUGUGAAAGCCCCCGGCUCAACCGGGGAGGGUCAUUGGAAACUGGGAAACUUGAGUGCAGAAGAGGAGAGUGGAAUUCCACGUGUAGCGGUGAAAUGCGUAGAGAUGUGGAGGAACACCAGUGGCGAAGGCGACUCUCUGGUCUGUAACUGACGCUGAGGAGCGAAAGCGUGGGGAGCGAACAGGAUUAGAUACCCUGGUAGUCCACGCCGUAAACGAUGAGUGCUAAGUGUUAGGGGGUUUCCGCCCCUUAGUGCUGCAGCUAACGCAUUAAGCACUCCGCCUGGGGAGUACGGUCGCAAGACUGAAACUCAAAGGAAUUGACGGGGGCCCGCACAAGCGGUGGAGCAUGUGGUUUAAUUCGAAGCAACGCGAAGAACCUUACCAGGUCUUGACAUCCUCUGACAACCCUAGAGAUAGGGCUUUCCCUUCGGGGACAGAGUGACAGGUGGUGCAUGGUUGUCGUCAGCUCGUGUCGUGAGAUGUUGGGUUAAGUCCCGCAACGAGCGCAACCCUUGAUCUUAGUUGCCAGCAUUUAGUUGGGCACUCUAAGGUGACUGCCGGUGACAAACCGGAGGAAGGUGGGGAUGACGUCAAAUCAUCAUGCCCCUUAUGACCUGGGCUACACACGUGCUACAAUGGACAGAACAAAGGGCUGCGAGACCGCAAGGUUUAGCCAAUCCCAUAAAUCUGUUCUCAGUUCGGAUCGCAGUCUGCAACUCGACUGCGUGAAGCUGGAAUCGCUAGUAAUCGCGGAUCAGCAUGCCGCGGUGAAUACGUUCCCGGGCCUUGUACACACCGCCCGUCACACCACGAGAGUUUGCAACACCCGAAGUCGGUGAGGUAACCUUUAUGGAGCCAGCCGCCGA